UGGUUUUCUUUGCAAGGUGAUGCUUAUGUUUCCCCUCAUGACUUCCCCAGGUGACCAACCUCCGGUCCAACGUGUCCUGCUCUGCAGUUGUCACUCUGGGAGAGCUCUUUGCGAUCUUGGGGAAGGACAUGGACUCCGAGGUGGAUCAGAUUGCUACAGUCCUUCUCCACAUGUUGCGGAACUCCCCAGAGUUUAUUCAGAAGGCAGCCUGUCAGAGCCUGGGCAUGAUGGUAGAGAACGUGAUUCCUACACGAGCAAUGACUGCUCUCAUGGACAAUGGAGUCAAGAGCUGCUACGUCCCGGCACGGAAGUGUACGGCCGAACUCCUCCUGUCCUUGAUGGAGAAAAUGGGAGUCACGAAGCUGGCAGGCACACCCAGGGCUGAGAGGCUGGCACAGGUGGCAGGGACACUCGCUCAGGACAGUCACAAGGACACGAGGCAUUAUGGACAGGAGAUGGUGAAGAUGUUGCUUAGUAAUCAAAAAUUUAAAAAGCUUUUGGAACAAUCUCUUUCCACGCAUGACCUGGAAGAUAUCCUGAAGAGAAUUAAGAAGAAAGGGAUGGAAAACCAGAAGGCUGAACACCCACCUGUGCAGGAGCCGGUGAAGAAGAGGAAUGAAGGCUCCAAGGAGCCCCAGGCCACAUCACCUCCUAGCAAACGGUACUGAGCACUUUUGCCAGAUGUGACAAAGCCCAUGACAUGCUUCACAUGCCUCUUCCUCAGGCACAUCUUUCUGAUGGAGAUGACCAGUGUCAAAGAUUGUUUCCUUUCCCUACAAAUGCUCUAGGAUAAAAAAUAUCUAUUUCUGCAUUGUGUUGAACACAGCUUCUCUGGAGGGCUUUCCACAAAUACUGGGCGACAAAAAGUCACCCAUUGCUUGCAGUUCAGAUGAUCCAGUGCAGUGGCAAGGGCAGGGCUGUGGAGGCUAGGAGAGGGCCAAGUCUCUGCUGCCUGACUUGAGACAAGUAAAUUCAACCAGGGUUUUUUUCAUCCAAGUGGAGUCCUUUUUAGAUGGGUGUUUUAAUGAGAAGUCCCAGUGUAGAGGCAGGAUGCCAUUCCUCAAACAAGCAGUUCCCUUCCAUGAGGUUUGGUCUAGCUGAUUGUUGGUUUUCUUACCCUCAAACAGCAGUACCAAGUUUGAGUAGUAAGGAGCAAGACAAUUCCUAAGCCAUUUUGGUCAACAGGUAUCUCAAGGUGGACUUUUUGUCUUGUGAUUCCUGCCCUUCCUACAGUUUGCUUGAUGGACAGCGUGUUUGGUUUAUUUCCCCCUGUGCUGCAAUCAGCAUUUAAGACAGGAAUUUGGUCCUUGCUGUCUCGUCAUGCCAGUGGCAGAGCUACUUGUACUGUUUUCCUCUGACAACAGAGGGGGAUUUAUUUAGCUCUGUCAUGCUCAGCAGUGGCAAGAAAGUGACCACAUGCCUCAGUAGCAUAGCUAGCAUCUUCCCAUUCUCAUGGAAGAGGCAGGUUGAUCCAAGAGGAUUAUUCCCAGUGGGUUUGUUACGCUGUGCAUCUAGUUUCUAGGGAAGCAAAUGAAAUGUGAGCGUAGUUCUGGGAUGUCUGAUUUCUGUUUUUCUCUCUGUUACUGAUUUUCUGGAUCAUUUAGCUAUGCCCCUGUUCAUCUGUUCAGAUGCAUCUGAGCUACUUUUGCAGAUUGUCAUGCCUGGUUGUAGAGACACUUCUCCAGAGUGAUGAGUUUCCUUAUUGUAAGACACACACAUCCCGUAUGAGGAGGCAUUUAAACUUGGAAGCAGUGUCUCUCUUUCCCCACAAAGUAACGUGGCCUGUGUGU